rnacentral:tRNA from 1 species
CAGUAAAUAGUUUAAAUAAAAAAUUUUAAUUUUGGAGAUUAAUGAUGGGCUUAGCCUUUUACUGA